AGCACCAUCUGUCUAACAGGCAAAAUGGAAGAGCAAUAACAGGCUCGGAUAGAAGAAAUUCCAGCCAUUACAUUUUGGAAAUCAACCUAAAUCCUAAUGCUCACUCAGAUCACAGGGCACACAUACCUGCCCAGGGUUUUCCCCUGCAGAACUCACAUUCUUCCAGCUGUUGCUUGCUUUUGAAAGUCACAGAACAGCCACUACAGAGAUAACACUACCAUAAAUUUUGCCUGCCCCAGAAAACCUUCAGAUACAGUCCUGAAUUCGAUCUUCUAGUUUCCACAUGAAACUAAUCAACUUGGAGCUGUUUUGAUGUGUCUCAACAAAGAUGAAGCAGAGAGAGGGAGAACAAAGAAGUAAAUGGAAAAAAUAGAUCUCUCAAGACAUUUACAAACAAGAAGGAUUUGUUUUUUCAUGAGCCAAGAUGGAUUUUGGUAUGUCCUUGC